UGCACGCGCAUGCGCAGACCCAGUUGACAGCACAGGUUGCUGCUCUGAGGAGCCCAGCACCUAGUGUGGGAACAGAAAGGACUUCUUGGUUAAACAGGAAGCUCUACAUGAGCAGCUUUAGAGAGCUGACUGGGGCAAAUCUACAUAGAAUUCGAAAAAUCUUUGGCCAUUUUAUCCCACAUGCGGCUCAGCAGUUGUCGGGUUUAAGGAUUAAGCUAAGAAAGAGGUCUUUUCAGAGAAAAUACCAACAAAGAAUUUUCUUGGCUUGUCUGUAGGAGCUCAGAGACUUUCAACUUUUGAGCUACCAGUUUUGCGGGGCUGCAGAAAUUUGAUCCUCAGCCUUCCCAGGACGGAGCGAGGAAGAAAUAAAAAGAGGGAGAAGGAGAGAGAGAGAGAGAGAGAGAGAGAGAGAGAGAGAGAGAGAGAGGAGAAAGCACUGCAUACAACAAACAUGGCUGCUGAAGAAAGACGGCCAUAAUCAUAGAAGGUAGGAUCCAGUACACACAAAGGUCUAUCUAUCCAUGGCGACAGCUGAUGAGAAGGACAAAUAAGCAGGAAAACGAAAGGUGUGGACACACCCACAAGGAAGUUACGGAGGAGUCCUCAUUACACAGUUCUCUGAACACAGAGAAUACCAACGAUUCAGGAAAGGAAUUUUGUACCUGGAGUUUCAUGCUGCUGACCAACCUUGAAAUCAGACUGCUAAGUGGGACUUGGUGCCUUGGCAAGUCUCUGAAGUCCUUUUUUACCAACAUUCAGGUUAAUGGUUAAGAGUUGGCAUUUAGAAUGUGCGAUAAUUUCCGUUCGGUACUUUAGUUAAUAAUACAUCUUUCCAUGGUGUCUGAAGGAUAUGUCCAAACAAGUAAUGGAAAACUAGGCUGAUGCAUUUAAGAGGUACUUUGUACAACACAAACCCAGCAGACAAGAGUAACCAUCACAUACAA